UCCAGCCUGGGUGACAGAGCCAGACCCCGUCCCAAAUAAAUAAAAAUAAAGGAACCAGUUUGUAGAAAGCAGGAGAGGGUCCCAUUGAACUUCAAGCCUUCAAGCUACAGCUGUGGCUGGACAGGUUGGACCAGCAGGCUGGAGCAGUCGCCAUCUUGGCAGGGAUCAUUGACCCUGAUCUAUCAUCGGGAGGAAGAAGAGCUGAUCUUAUGCAGGGAGGGCAGGUGGACUAUGUGUGGACUCUGGUGAUCUGUUUGGGUGCCAGGUGUUACUCCCAGGGCCACCCAUAACUGUGAAUGUGCAGGAACCCUGACUUAGGUUCCUGGGGAAUGAGAGUUUGGUUCCCGGUACCCAGGGAAACCACCAGCAUCGGCAGAGGUGAUAGCUGGGGAGGAGCGGGGAUUUGGACGAGAGACACAGGAUGAGUACCGGGGGCAGCCCUGUGAUCAACAACUGCUGCAAGAGGGGCCGUUUGUUCGACUCACUAGUCUUCUGUGGCUCUAUGCGGUACUAAAGAGCAGAAGACAGAAGAUACAAAAACCACAAAAAUUAGCCGGGCGUGGUGCUGCGCGUCAAUAAUCCCAGCUACUCGGGAGGCUGAGACGGGAGAAUCGCUUGAAUCCGGGAGGUGGAAGUUUCAGCGAGCUGAGAUCACGCCAUUGCAGUCCAACCUGAGCGUCCGAGCGAGACUAUCUCAGAAAGUAAAGACAGAAUUAAAGUGCCCAGCGCAGUGGCUCACGCCUGUAAUCCCAGCGCUUUGGGAGGCCGAGGCGGGCAGAUCACCUGAAGUCAGGAGUUCGAGACCAGCCUGGCCAACUUGGCGAGACCUCCUUAAAAAUACAAAA
rnacentral:lncRNA from 10 species